GGCUUUAUAGUCAAUAAUGAUAUUAGACUGCAAUUCUAAAGGAGUAAUUAAUAAUUACUAAGGCUU
rnacentral:tRNA from 1 species